CGCGGGGUGGAGCAGCUUGGUAGCUCGUCGGGCUCAUAACCCGACGGUCGUCGGUUCAAAUCCGGCCCCCGCAACCA
rnacentral:tRNA from 1 species